rnacentral:rRNA from 1 species
UUGUGGGGUAACGGCCUACCAAGACGACGAUCAGUAGCCGGACUGAGAGGUUGGACGGCCACAUUGGGACUGAGAUACGGCCCAAACUCCUACGGGAGGCAGCAGUCGGGAAUAUUGCGCAAUGGAGGAAACUCUGACGCAGUGACGCCGCGUGCAGGAAGAAGGUUUUCGGAUUGUAAACUGCUUUUGACAGGGAAGAGAAAGGACAGUACCUGUAAAAAAGCUCCGGCUAACUAC